rnacentral:tmRNA from 1 species
GGGGCUGAAAUGGAUUUGACAGCGGGUAAAACAGGUAUGUAAGCAUGCCGAGCGUGGGGAACUGGCUCGUUAAUCCCAGGUCUCAAACCAAUAAUUGGCAAUAGUAAUUAUGCUCUCGCUGCUUAACCGGUAAUCCGGUUUAAGCUUAAUCCCGGCAUCAGAUGCUGAGGACGAGAUGUUCCGCCGGUGUUUCCUCCUUGUUGGCAUCGGCAUACGGGGCACAAGCAAAGCAGGGAUAGCCGCGGAAAGGUCCCGGUUCUUCGGCGAAACUUAAGGGACUAAGGUCCGGGUUUGUAGUCUUUCGCUGACCCGUUCACGAAAACCAAAGAAAGACUAAGCAUGUAGAAAGCAUAUGGGUUUCUCGUUUGGACCGGGGUUCGACCCCCCGCAGCUCCACAA